UUUGUUUUAAAUGAUUAACUUUCUGUCAGGCUUUUGGAAUAUACCCGUUUAUCAAUGUACAAUAUGACGUGAUUAUGUUCUCUUCUUCAUGCUAUUUCACUACAUCGAAAAGAAAAAAAAAAUUAUUAUUUAAUUUUUUUUGUUUUUUCAUUUUUUUACCAGGUUGAUGUGAAAAUACAUAACUCCAGAGAAACUUCUAAAGAUAGUAUUCUUUCCAACUACACAAUAGAAGCUGAGGCCUUGGUCUGCUGAGCAAGUAAGGGCUCUUGAUUUGUUAUUUCUUUUUGUUUCUUCCUGUCUUGUUCUUAAGGUAAAAGCAACCAUUUUAAGUUAUAUGCACUUUUUUUCUUAUUAGUAUUCAUUGGGUCGUCGAUGAUUUCCAAAAGUAUCUGUCAGAUGCUGGACGUACCUGGGCACUGGGAAUAUUUUAAUGGAGAGAUGGAAAUUAAAAGAUCGGAUGAGGAGGAAUCAAAAAAAAAAAAAAAAAAAAAAAAAGAGAUCGGAUAAGGACACAUGACGUAAUAUGAAGGGGUGAAAAUCUUUUUGUAAACCUGCACGGAUUCUAGUUAUACGUGGCACACAAUGGCGAAGCCACUAAAGGACCAGCCAAGCCUCAUUUUUUUCUCCAUCCAUCUUUUUGCAGUGCAGUUUUCACUUCCCCUCCUUAUUCUAUCAACUUUUCCUUGGGUUAUCUUAUAUUUCAGAAAAAAAAAAAAAUCAUACUUACCUUUUACCUCAUAUUCAAGUUUCUGGAUUUGUACAAUGUUUUUGGUUUUCUCUAUUGAAUUUACGGUCCUUCAAUUUU